rnacentral:rRNA from 1 species
AGUGAACGCUGGCGGUAGGCCUAACACAUGCAAGUCGAACGGCAGCACAGUAAGAGCUUGCUCUUACGGGUGGCGAGUGGCGGACGGGUGAGGAAUACAUCGGAAUCUACUUUUUCGUGGGGGAUAACGUAGGGAAACUUACGCUAAUACCGCAUACGACCUACGGGUGAAAGCAGGGGAUCUUCGGACCUUGCGCGAUUGAAUGAGCCGAUGUCGGAUUAGCUAGUUGGCGGGGUAAAGGCCCACCAAGGCGACGAUCCGUAGCUGGUCUGAGAGGAUGAUCAGCCACACUGGAACUGAGACACGGUCCAGACUCCUACGGGAGGCAGCAGUGGGGAAUAUUGGACAAUGGGCGCAAGCCUGAUCCAGCCAUACCGCGUGAGUGAAGAAGGCCUUCGGGUUGUAAAGCCCUUUUGUUGGGAAAGAAAAUCAGCAGAUUAAUACCCCGCUGUUCUGACGGUACCCAAAGAAUAAGCACCGGCUAACUUCGUG